rnacentral:SRP_RNA from 2 species
GCCAGGUGUGGUGGCGCACACCUGUAAUCUCAGCUACUCGGGAGGCUGAGGCAGGAGAAUCACUUGAACCCAGGAGACGGAGGUUGCAGUGAGCCGAGAUAGCGCCACUGCACUCCAGCCUGGGUGACAGAGUGAGACUCCAUCUCAA